UAAAAACAUUUCCGAGUAUCUAUACGUUGUGCUGUUUUUUAUUUCUUCUGAAUUCUGCACAGGUUAAGUAGUUUUCGCUCUAAUGGUGAAUGAAAUGGUGAUGUAGGACUCGAUUGAUUUAAAUUUACAAUACUAUCCCUGAAAAACCAGAAAGUUGCUUACUGGAUCGAGAUGAUAUAGUUGAGGGCGAGGAGCUACUUAAAGUUUUGGAAUUGGCUAAAAAAAUAUUGAAUCGCCCGAACUUACGGAGGGAAGAUGUCUUCUGUGCGAGUGCACUUGCAGAAAUAGUUUAUGUAAUUCAGUUCAAACAAUCAGAAAACGGACAAUGUAGACAAGAGUUCUGGGUGAGACCAAAAGGCAACAAAAUACUUCCUAUGGAGUGCAGUGAUAGUUGACGCUAGCCUGAGUGUAAAGGGUUCCUUACAAACACUCCAACAUGUUCAACAUUCAAAAUAUCUGACCGUUUUAUUUUGUGAAGCCAGACUGCAUAUCCUAAAUAAACUGUUCUCUCGAAAUCCA